UCGGGGGUGGCGCAACUGGCAGCGCGCGUGAUUCUGGUUCACGAGGUUGGAGGUUCGAGCCCUCCCCCCCGAG
rnacentral:tRNA from 1 species